GACGAGGUGCACAAACGUUAUUCGGAAUUACUGGGCUUAAAGCGUGCGUAGGCGGCUUAGCAAGUCGGGUGUGAAAGCCCUCGGCUCAACCGAGGAAUUGCGCCCGAAACUGCUGAGCUAGAGUGAGACAGAGGUGAGCGGAACUGAUGGUGGAGCGGUGAAAUGCGUUGAUAUCAAGCGGAACACCGGUGGCGAAGGCGGCCUUCUGGACAGUGACUGACGCUGAGACACGAAAGCGUGGGGAGCAAACAGG
rnacentral:rRNA from 1 species